UUAAUUGAAGCCAAAUAGAGGCAUAUUAUUGUUAAUAAUACCAUUGAAAAAUAAAAUUUCCAGUUAAA
rnacentral:tRNA from 1 species